CGUAGGGUGCGAGCGUUGUCCGGAAUUACUGGGCGUAAAGAGCUCGUAGGUGGUUUGUCGCGUUGUUCGUGAAAACCGGGGCUUAACCCUCGGCGUGCGGGCGAUACGGGCAGACUUGAGUACUGCAGGGGAGACUGGAAUUCCUGGUGUAGCGGUGGAAUGCGCAGAUAUCAGGAGGAACACCGGUGGCGAAGGCGGGUCUCUGGGCAGUAACUGACGCUGAGGAGCGAAAGCGUGGGGAGCGAACAGGAUU
rnacentral:rRNA from 1 species